rnacentral:rRNA from 1 species
CCGCAUAGGUGUAGAGAUCGCAUGAACUCUAUAUGAAAAGUGCUACGGGACUGGUAGAUGAUGGACUUAUGGCGCAUUAGCUGGUUGGUAGGGUAACGGCCUACCAAGGCGACGAUGCGUAGCCGACCUGAGAGGGUGACCGGCCACACUGGGACUGAGACACGGCCCAGACUCCUACGGGAGGCAGCAGUAGGGAAUUUUCGGCAAUGGGGGAAACCCUGACCGAGCAACGCCGCGUGAAGGAAGAAGUAAUUCGUUAUGUAAACUUCUGUCAUAGAGGAAGAACGGUGGAUAUAGGGAAUGAUAUCCAAGUGACGGUACUCUAUAAGAAAGCCACGGCUAACUACGUGCCAGCAGCCGCGGUAAUACGUAGGUGGCGAGCGUUAUCCGGAAUUAUUGGGCGUAAAGAGGGAGCAGGCGGCACUAAGGGUCUGUGGUGAAAGAUCGAAGCUUAACUUCGGUAAGCCAUGGAAACCGUAGAGCUAGAGUGUGUGAGAGGAUCGUGGAAUUCCAUGUGUAGCGGUGAAAUGCGUAGAUAUAUGGAGGAACACCAGUGGCGAAGGCGACGAUCUGGCGCAUAACUGACGCUCAGUCCCGAAAGCGUGGGGAGCAAAUAGGAUUAGAUACCCUAGUAGUCCACGCCGU